UUGACCGAAUGCUAAUUAUGUUAUCUGAUGUGCUAUUCAAAAUCAGGCCGUUCUCCGUCCGACUGUCGGAAGUGUUCAGUUUCGUGACUUUUCCAGUCCAUGACAUAACUAUCCAAGUCCCAGGUAGCUUGUAAACCAGUCCGGUUCCGUCCACUCAUCCAGCGCCACUCUGCUCCAGCGCUGUCGAGCUCCGGUGACGUGUACACCUGGGGCUGGAACGAGUCCGGCCAGCUCGGGCUCGGAGACGCGGUGAACGUGGCUGCCGAGCCGGCGCUGGUGGACGCGCUUCCCAGUGACGUCACCGUCACUCAGCUGGCCUGCGGCUUGCGACACACGCUGGCGCUGCUCGAGGACGGCUCGGUGAUCGGCUGGGGUUGGAACGGUCAUAGUCAGCUGGCCCUGCCGCCCUGUGACCGGUCACUGCCCCGGGCCCUGCCGCUGCCGGAGCGAGGCACCGUAGUCAGGGUAGCCGCCGGUGGCUGGAACUCCGCUCUGGUAACCCGGGAGGACAGCUGAUGAGUCUUCGGUGACCGGUGCAGUGAAGUAGCGUGCUUUGUAAAAUUGAAAGAUAUUUCGGGGUGCGCCUAACCGGGCAUGAUGGCGAGCCCAAGGCGAUAAGGCGAGCCCUUUUAUGGCGUGCGUCAUAAAUUCGAAGUAUCCGGUACUAAAGCUGAUUUUGCCAGCGUGUAUCGUUUUCAGAUCGGGUAUUUGGUCGUGAUCACAGCACCUUGCCUCUGCUAUGUGAUGUGGGGAUUUGGGAGGGCUUUGUCAUAAAAUGGUGGGGUAUGCAAUGAAAUGUAUUUUGUUUGCUUGAUAAGGUUACUUUUUGCAGUGUUUUCUUAAGCUUUUAGUUAUGGAAGGCUUAGCUUUUCGAAUUUCGAAAGGGUUAGCAUAGUGUAAAUGUACGCUUACCGUCGAAUGUGAUGCUUUGACGACAGAAGGUGCAAAUGUGUUCAUGUCAUUUGUUAUCAUUUUUCGGAAAAGAUUGGUUAUGCGCAUUCAGAGUGUUCUGUUUUAGGUAAGUUUCACUCAAUAUGCAUGAGAGUUCUCAAGAGAAGGGAUUUCUCGAAUAAAUGCUGUUUUUGUUGAG